rnacentral:lncRNA from 1 species
CAAUCUGCUCAUAGAUGAAAAUAUGCUAUUCCAGCCAAAGCCUUGGCAAGAUCCUUUGGCAUUUGAGAGUUGUUUUGUGUAUACGGCCCUUUAACGGAGCAAAUGGCCAGCCAGGAAACCAAAGUAUGGACAAGGGGAAAGAAGCAUCUGUGGAGGAAGUUUUACAAGCGACCCUCCUCAUCCAUGCAUUCUAUGGAUGAUAUUCUAACUUCUGAAGACUUGUCAUUGCUACAGCAACACAGAGAUGCACUGACACCCUUCUUCAAUCCAGAGGAUGGGCCAUCAACUCACAAAAGUACAAGGCUUGGGACCAGCUGCAAAGUUCCUAUGGAUCAC